rnacentral:lncRNA from 1 species
GAAAAGUUGGGUAAAAAAAUUGAUGAAGGCCAGUAUGUGACAGAUGCUCGAAUUGCCAAGUUGGAGGAAGCUCUGCUGGAAUCACGGAAUCACAUGAAUGAUGUUCAUUUGUCAUUGGAGACCAAGCUUCUCACGAAAAUAGACAAAACUGUACACAAACAUUCUGAGGAGAUUGCCAGGCUGAAGAGAGAAUGUCGUGAGGGAUUUGCCACUGUGCAUGAAAGCAUCAGCAAUAUGAAAACUGUCAUGGAAGGCAAGAGGAAAUUGUUGGAAGACCAGCUGAGGAAAGAAAUUGGACAGUUACGCAAAAUGGUUGUUUUGGUUUAGAAGAGACCAAAUGUGUUGGACGUGUACGUUAAGUCAAAAUUCCAGUAUUAGAUAGCCCUUUACGGAAUUAAACUCUUUUUGUACACAACUUUACACUUACAAUCAAGCUUUUGUUUUCUGAUAACACAACACAAAUUUACUCAAUUUUUUAUCAAUGUGAAUAGAUCGCAUUCUUCAGAAUCUAACUUUCAAAAUGUGCAUUUGCACUUUCAUACGCAAAGGUAAAGAUAAGGAUAGAUAUGAAACCUCAGGUCAUACUAUUUGUUUUCUUCCUAAAAAAAACAGAUUCAUUUCUAUAUAAUAUAUGGUUAAAAACUAUAUCGAGAAGUAUUAUUCUGUGUUUCAAAUGUCACAAUUUUGAAGAACUGUGUACUCUUUUUGUAUCUCUGUAUAGCGUAAUUUGUGUAGUAAAAAAGAUGCUAAGUUAUUCUCGGAAAUUUUUAUAGAAACCUAUUAUAAUAUCGGCGACUCUUCUUCACAGCUCUCUAGCUUGAUAACAAGGUAUCUUUUCAUACAAAUAUUCAAGACAAUUUUUUAUUUGUUAAGUUUUUUCUGGAUUUGACAAUAAAAAUGGCAACAAUCCACAAAAACUGGCAUUGCAUCUUGUGGGUGUAGAAAUUAAACUUGAUUCAGCAGCAAUGUAAAUGAACACUAAGAAUUCAGGUUUAAUUUCUACUUAUGUAAGUGCAGAUAAGAAUUCUGAAGAGUAGCUCAGUGUCUUCAGUUUGAGGAGAUAUGUAAAGCUUUUACUGCAGCAUUUUCUCCUACAUACUUCUCACACACUCACAUACACCCCCCCCCCCUCCCAAUCAAUAUAAUUUAGAGUGUUUAAGGGACAGGCCUCUAUAACACUACUUAUCUAGGUCAACAACAGAUGUGGGAUAUAUCCCAGCAGGAAGACACUAAUAUGCAGUCAAAUUUCUUCCCCGAAUGGGAAUCAAACUCCCAUCCCCUGCAUGCAAAACGGAAAGGCGACCCAUUACACUGUGGAUGCCUGUAAUAGAAACUUGUAUGAGUUUGCUAAACCUAGAAAGGUCCCUUUAUGAGGGACAAGAGAGCAAGGAACAGUAGUCAAUAAGGUAUUAUUAAGUAAGCUUUCUGCUUGGGAUCUUUUUUUUUUUUUUUAAACAAUAGGCCUAUGUUUGGAUUUCAUAUAUGCAUUAUCCCUUUAUGAUAUAUAUAUUAUAUUAUAUUUACAUCACACUUGUUAUUGAAUACUGCACGAAAGUAUUAAAUGUCACUUCACCAUAAGUGCCUGAUUUUCCACUGUCCAACACAAUACGAAUUGUUGUUAUUUUUGCUUGCAGUUAUAUCUUCUUCAUAUUUGUGCAGAGGUAUUGAAAUUGAGGGUUUUUUUGCGUUAAGAUCUGAAGACAUAAUAUGGCCAUACUUUUGUAAAGUCAUGACUUUAUGAUAGGGAUGUUGGUGAUGCUUCCAGUGUUGAGGCUUGAUAAAGAGGUCUUCCCCAUCAGACAGGAUAAAAUACUUUUCAAUUUGUUGUCUUGGCUUUGUUCUUGGCGCAAUGGCAAAACAGAACAUAAACUUCACAUGCUUUUAAAAACACCACUAUUGUUACUUUUGAUUAAAGAUGGCAUUGUCGUUUGGUUCAAUCUUUCUCACUUUUGAAUCAGUGCUCUUAAAUGAUUCUUGAUAUGGCUUGGUAGAGCUUGUGUUUGUGUAAAUUUAAAGGCAAGAUUGAAAACGGGCUAAACAAACACGUAUGUGAGGCAGUGGAGUGAAAUCAGGUGUUUGUUGAAAAAAUGAAAUUGAAGAAACAAGGAUUUUUCUGCCUGAUUGGUUUAAUUGGCUCAAGACCUUUUAUGUUCGUUUAAGAACACAACUCUAUUUUGACUUUACUAACAAAUGUCAAUUAAAGUGCAUAACAAAUGUAAAUUUUUCAGUUUCCGCAGACUCUCAAACUAUGAAAUCAACCAAACUAUGGUGGCCAUUCUGUCAUUAAUUUUACCUCUGAAACUAUUCUACCCCCACCUCUUUCAAUCGCAUAUAUCUCGACUUUUAUUCAAGAUAAAUAGGUAUUUUUUUCAUUGAAGCAAGACAAAGGAACAAACUUUAAGAUGAUACAAAAAAGUCAACGCACCUUAAAAUUGACAAACGUCUGAAUCCACCGCGUUAGGGCGCAUAUUUUUACUAAACUUUUUUAAAAUGUCAAAAUAAUGAUAGUGGACAAGUUCUGGUUAAACUAAAUAUGACCUCAUAUUUGGUAAGAGUUCAAAGAACAUCAAUAUAUUCCUCUACAUGCAAUGAAAUAAAAAGUGAAUAAUGGAUUGACUCCUUUCAAGUAAGAAAUGGUAAGACAUUUAUUUUGUGUUGCUCUAUUCUGAGGCAUCUCACACAAAAAACAUCACUGGGAUAAAAUUUUCAGGUUGAAGGGUGUUUGUUCUUUUUUCCAAUUCAUCGGUUGCCAUUUAUUGAAAAAUCAACAUGUUAAGCAAUUAUGUUUUUGGUUUUUUUACUCGUACUCACAAAAGUUGGAAUGCAGUUGUGAGCGCCGUAAAACCUCUUCUAAAACAAAACAAACAAAAGUUGGAAAGUGACUUUUUAAAAGGAUUUUUUUCAAAUUCAAUUAACCUGUUGUUGUACCAAAAAAUCCUCAGAGUCAGAGGGUUUGUGUAACUAAGCUCUUUUUACACCGCCUCCAUAGUUCCCAUAUCCCCCUAAAUGUUGCAGAGUUGGGACGAGGAGUCAAGCUAGCCUCUCAGAUGAUUGUAUUGUGAGGAAAAGAGUGGUUGAGGUACAUGUUUUUUGAUGAAACGCUGUCUGAGGUGAAAGGGAGGUAGGAUUGUGACUUGGAUUUUGAUUGUCUGGUCCUCAGAGCUCAUAUUGAAUCACUCUAAAAUCCUGGUUUUGUAACAAUGUAGGCCUAUUUCAGAGAGUUUCUAAUUUUUCUGAACAAGUGUGUAUUUAAAUCAUUUUUUCUAGUCUACAUAUCAAUAGAUGUCACACCGAGUAACAUUUAUACAAAUAUAUAUUUCCAUUGUAUAUAGCCUAACUUGUACAGUCAAUUUCUAUUGUUAAAUUCUUCAUUUAUUUGUAAGUUAAUUUUGUUUACCGUUAUCUGGUAUGUAUGUGCCAGAUCAUGAAACGGGUGAUUAAAUGAAGGUCAAUCAAGAAGGGUGAGAAUUUAAUGACAAAGAAGAUUCAAGCAGGACAAUAGAUAGAUUCAGUUCUCUGUUUAUCACUUCAAUGCUUGUUUGCUGUGCCUGAGUAUUUGUGGUCAUCUUAAUAUCUGCGAUCAUAUCAGUAUCAUUGCUAAGUACCUAGGAUUGAAAUGUGAAAUGAAUUGUUUGGAUGGAAGUCUAUGUAUUUUGGGAUUUCUCUGGUCAAUAUAUUUUACUCAACCAAAGCUGUUGUCCAAAUGCAGUAUUGAGUAUUCUAUUCAGAGCUGUCCUCAUGAAAGCGUAAUGUUGGUGCACCAAAAAAGUGCUUCAAAGACACCAUGAAAAUGUCUCUGAAGGAUUUCAACAUUAAUCCUAUGAUAUGGAAGAGCCUUGCUCCUGACAGACCACUUGGAGAGUUGCAGUCACAGUGUGUGUAAGAAGGAAGCCUGAGAAGCUGCACAUAUCAACAAGUGGAAAUGAAGCUUUAUAAAUGCUCAAAAUGAGGGGAGCUUUUCUCUGUCAGAAUUAAUCAAAUUUGACAUAGCAAAAGCCUCAAGUCCUCUCUUAACCCUUAUUUCUUCUUAUUUGCUUUCUCCUUUGCAGGUGCAUUGGUCAUUGUUAGACAUUGCUGGACGAACUAUUAUCAUCAUUAUUAUAUUUUGUUUGACCACAUCCUCGAUCUGUGAAUUAGAUCUAGAGAGUUGGCCAGAAGACAAAGUACAGUGGGAGGAUGUUACCCUUACACAAGAGAAUCUGUUGUCUACAUGUGAUAUCCCACCUAUAAUAUGGGAGAAAUGCACCUCUAAUGUCAAGGCAGUAUAGUAGACUAUUAUAUCCCCCUGCCUUCUUGGGGCUUUGUACCUGUGAUCAUGUCUUUUGGAAUUUGUGUACACUUGUAGGUCUGUAUUGUAUAAAUGUUUUUCCAUUUUCAUCCCCCCCCCCCUCAAUCUCAUUUCAUUUUGUAUUUCCUCAUUUAUUGUCAGAGUUUAUAUUUUGCUUUCUUUUUUGUUAGUUGUUUUCAACUCAGUGUUACAUGAAGUGAUGAUUUCACUACACAUUCAUAUCUGUCAUGAACAUCUGUCUCCAGUGACUCAGGGUAGGAAAGAUAUGAUCCUCUUCUUGUUUCUGUUUCGGACUUCUCUUGGCCAGGCAGAAGCUAAUUCUCCCCUCCUCACUUGAAUGUUGGCAACUCCAGUGUGCAAAGAUUUUUUUUUAUCUUUGUGGUUUACAUUACUCCUGAUAGCUGAUAAAUAUUUUUAAAUGCACAUUUUAUGUUUUGUUUUAAUUGAAUUAAGAAGUAGCCAUAGCUGUUUUCUUUAAUGUCCUACUCAGUACAUUUAGAAGCUUUUUCAUUUAUUUAUUUUUAUUGCACAUUCUGUCUCUUGGUUUUUUUAAAACACAUUUACAUCAUGUCCAGUGUACAAAUGUAACACUUUGUCCUAAUUCGAACCUUUUUUAAUCGGUAAGCUCUUGAUAAUGAAAAGUGGUGUAGUCUACAUCACUGUCUCUUACAUUUUAAGCCAAUCAUGAAAAGAUUUAUUUUCCUGGAAGUAGCAGUAUCCAGUCUUUUCAAGCAAAGCCGUGAGAAAUGCAUCUUGAAGGAAUACUUUCUUGUGCCUGCCAGCAGGUACUUGAUUUAUGUUUUGAUCUCUCACUGAUUUUGUAUUUUCAUUGGAAGUGAUUACAUAUUCAGUAACAAUAUUUUAGUUUAAAUAUAAUACAAUUUUCACGAACUAUUUAACUCAUCAUAAAUUUGGAUUUUUGUGAGGUUGACCGAAUGAAAUCAUAUUGUAAUAAACAGUACUUUCAAAAUGUUGUUUUUUCACUUGCAUUGUCAUGCCUUGUAUAUAAAACUGAAUCAAGCUCUGAAAGUAUACAUAGUCGUCCUGGAUUUAAAUGACCGAAGACGAGGUUUUUAUUUCAUGUUUAGAUUAUAGUAUUUGUAAUUGUAGUCUCAAAAUGAUUUGUGUAUAUGUGUAGAGCAAUGAACGUUCUUGCAUGGCCACUUGUGAAGGGGACAAACACUUAUAUUUAUAGCUGUUCUGUAAUCACAAAAUGUUUCUUCUACAUAUUGAUCUUUUUCUUCCAAAUUGCUGUGUUAAAACAACAGCUGUAAUGUUUUUAUUGCGUCACUCAACUUCACAAACUCAGAAUGACAUUUAAACUGCUGCUUCACUCUAACUGUUGAACGUUCACGUGUCUUCCCCCCAUGUGUACAGCAUUCACACGAACCGACAUAUAUAUGUAUACAGUGUCACUUCAGUAUUAAAUACAAAAAUCUUUAAGGACAAAAGUGAUAUAUAGACAAGGGGCAUUCAAACUGAAUUUUACUAUACAAAUGAAAAGACUUGCUCUAUUUUUCACUUUCCCUGCUUGUUGUGAGCAUAUUUACAACUGUGUGUCACAUUUUCAACAAACUAGCUUUUUGUGAGUAGUUCAUUUUUUAAGUUUCAACCAAAUGUGAAACGUUCUGAAUUCCACAUUUCCUUGACUGGAUAAAAGGAAUCAUCGUGUGAAGCUUACCACCAAGAAGCAUUAAGCUGUACAUGCUCUGAGACAGUGUGUUUUUCCGAAGUGGUUAUGUAAACGGAAACAACAGAUCAGAGAACUUUUGAUAUGAUUCUCUGAUAUCUUAGAUACUAAGGUUUGAGAAAGCUAUGCACUAUUAUGUUCUUGUCCGUAUGUUUGUUUCAAAUAAAUCUAGUUGAUGAAUUCA